AGAGUUUGAUCCUGGCUCAGAUUGAACGCUGGCGGCAGGCUUAACACAUGCAAGUCGAACGGUAACAUGGGUGCUUGCACCUGAUGACGAGUGGCGGACGGGUGAGUAAUGUAUGGGGAUCUGCCGAAUGGAAUGGGACAACACUUGGAAACAGGUGCUAAUACCGCAUACGUCAUCAUUCCACAUGGAAAGGUGACAAAAGACGCUACGGUGUCACUGUUGGAUGGGCCCGCGCUGCAUUAGUUAGUUGGUGAGGUAACGGCUCACCAAGACUAUGAUGCAUAGCCGACCUGAGAGGGUGAUCGGCCACACUGGAACUGAGACACGGUCCAGACUCCUACGGGAGGCAGCAGUGGGGAAUAUUGCACAAUGGGCGCAAGCCUGAUGCAGCCAUGCCGCGUGUAUGAAGAAGGCCUUAGGGUUGUAAAGUACUUUCGGUGAUGAGGAAGGUACUUGGUCUAAUAGGCCAAGUAAUUGACGUUAAUUACAGAAGAAGCACCGGCUAACUCCGUGCCAGCAGCCGCGGUAAUUC
rnacentral:rRNA from 1 species